rnacentral:rRNA from 1 species
AGGACGAACGCUGGCGGCGUGCUUAACACAUGCAAGUCGAACGGAAAGGCCCUUCGGGGUGCUCGAGUGGCGAACGGGUGAGUAACACGUGGGUGAUCUGCCCUGCACUUUGGGAUAAGCCUGGGAAACUGGGUCUAAUACCGGAUAGGACUACGAAUCGCAUGGUUUGUGGUGGAAAGCUUUUGCGGUGUGGGAUGGGCCCGUGGCCUAUCAGCUUGUUGGUGGGUGAUGGCCUACCAAGGCGACGACGGGUAGCCGGCCUGAGAGGGUGUCCGGCCACACUGGGACUGAGAUACGGCCCAGACUCCUACGGGAGGCAGCAGUGGGAAUAUUGCACAAGUGGGCGCAAGCCUGAUGCAGCGACGCCGCGUGAGGAUGACGGCCGUUCGGGUUCGUAAACCUCUUUCGAAGGUAGGACGAAGCGACGAAGCGAACGUACCUAAGUAAGAAGAAGCCACCGGACCAAACUACGACGCCAG